rnacentral:rRNA from 1 species
GCUGGUGAUUAUGGCAGGAAGGACACACACGUUUACAUCCCGAACACGAUUGUUAAGCUUCCUCGCGGCGAUGGUACUUGGGCGGAAGGCCCUGGGAGAGUAGCUCAUUGCCAGCC